GGCUACCUAGCGCAAUGGUAGCGCGUUUGGCUUCGAUUGCCUUCGUCUAUCAUACACCGUACUUCUUACCAAAAGGUUGCAGGUUCGAGUCCUGCGGUGGUCA